rnacentral:lncRNA from 1 species
AUGUCUGCUCUGUCAUGGAUUCUGAUCUGUGAAGGCUACGGAAGGAAUUGGCCAUGUAAUUUCCAGGGACACCUUAUUCUCAGGGGUCCAGGAGGAGCUUUUGCAGAUGAUCUACAGCUGAAUUCUGAAAAUUCUCUGAGCUGCAUGGUCUUAGGUCUUUGGUGGCAGGGUGUACAAUUAACUGCAGAGGAAAGCCACAGUUAAAGCCAUUAUCACAAAAUCUUACAGAAGGACAGUACUAGAAGGCGUUUUAGCUGCCAUCCAGCUGGAGACUCACUCAAGGUUAAGGAAGCUGGGGCCAAGUCUGGUGGAAAGGCUGGCCAAAUCUGAGAUGACUACCUGGCAGGAGAGUGGAGGCUGGGGCCUGAGUGUCUCUCUUUAGGCUUCAUCAGAAUACUCAUACCUGAUGCAUUUGUACCUACAUCCAGAGUAAAUUCUACCCUGUGAGAGGCUUGUACAAAUAGAAUCUGAAAAUAAAGAAAGUAUUACUAAAAACCAGAAUCUGCCAAUGAGAGCUAACCUACUUCAGAUACAUGGGUACUUUAACCUAGAAAGGUACAUUCC